AUUUUGCCCAUUUUUUAAAAAUUUUAAAUUGCAUUUUAUUAUUUAAAUUGUAUUCUGGCCAGGCAUGGUAGUGCAUGCCUGUAAUCCCAUCACUUGAGAGGCUGAGGCAGGAGGAUCACUACAUGUUCAAAGCCACCCUGGACUACAUAGCAAGAUCCUCUUUAUAAAUAACAAAUAGCAUUCUGGAUACAAGUUUUCACUUUUUAUUUAUUUAUUUAUUUCCAGUACUGGGGAUUGAACUCAGGACCUUGCACUUGCCAGGCAGGUGCAGCUCCACUGAGCUGUAUUCUGGAUACAAGCUCUUUGUCAGAUACAUGUUUUGGAAAUAUUAUUUAAUUCUAGACUUCCUUUUUAUUUUCCUACUUGUAUCUUUUGAAGAAAACAGGUAUUCAGUUUUUCUUUUAUUACUAGCACUAUGCUCUAACCAGCUGAGCUAACUGCCAGCUUUAAACCCUUCUUUUAAUGGUUUGUAUUUUUUUUUUUUGGUACCAGGGAUCAAACUCAGGACCUUGAACCUGAGAGGCAGGCGGCAGAACCACUGAGCUAAAUCCCUGGCCCUGGUUUGUAUUUUUUAUGUCCUGAGUUCAAUCCCGUACCAAAGAAAAAAAAAAUUGGGGUUCUAUUUUUUUUCCUAAUAGAUAUCCAAGUAUUCUAAGACCAUUUGUUGAACUGUUAUUACACACAGACACGCACGCACACACACGCUAAAUGCCUUGGCACCUUUUUUGAAACUUUGUUGCCCACGUCUUUCCAAUAUGAAGAUUAGAAUUGACUUACUAAAUUUUAGGGGAAAAAGAGCCUGAUGGGAUUGGGAUUGCAUUGGCUCUUUAGAUUAACUGGGGAAGAACUGACAUCCUAACAAUACAGAUUCUUCCCAACCCACGAGCAUGGUAAAGUAUAUCUCUCCACUUAUUCGCUUUUAAUGUUUUUUAGCUUUCAUUGUGCAUAUCUUGCAAAUAUUUUGUUAAACUUACCCUAGGUAUUUUUUUCUGAUUUUUUAGCACUAUUGAAAAUAUUUUAAAAUUUUAAAUGCAAUUUUUUUUGUUGUUUUCAUUUUUGUUUUUGGUACCAGGGAUUGAACUUGGGACCUUCUGCUUUUGAGGCAGGUGGCGGAACCACUGAGCUAAAUCCCCAGCCCGCA
rnacentral:lncRNA from 1 species